GCCCUGCCUAUUUUUCUCUUAUUUUGGUUAAGGUUGCAGGUUCCUCCUGGAUGGGCGGGAUUCCAGUGUUAAUUAUUGGCACCUGUGGCACCCUAUUUAAGAGGCUCAUGGAGCUGUGAUCACUCUCUCUCAUUUUUGGUUUGUUUGUUUGAAGAGUGGGUUGAUAUUUUGUGUUCACAUUUGUUUUCCACAACUCCACAAACCCAAUUUCUAACAGCUAUUUGAUUUGAUUCAUUUGUUAUUCUUUAAUACUUUGACCCUAGACAUUAUUUGAUUAAUUUGAAAUAAAUUUAUAAUUGUAUUGAAACCUAUUUUUGUCUAAGUGCCCUCUUUAUGUUGUGACUUUGAGCCGGGUCGUAACAUAAAUUGGGGGCUCGUCCGGGAUCAAAUUCUUGUUUGAAGUUGGGGUUUUGUGACUUGUUUUUCAAGUUUUUUGAGAGUGGAGCAUGGAAAAGGUUCAUAGUUAUUGGAUUAAUAGAGGACUCCGGUUAGGUAGAGUGGUCCAGCUGGGUUGCUAGUCAAUCCUUCCAACGGAGCACUGUUUGUUUUGUUAGUUUGUUUUGUUAGUUUGUUAUUUUUGAAGGUAUCCCGGGUGGAGAUUUAAUCUCUGUUGGGGGUGCGCUAUUCAGGGCCUGGUUUUUACCAGGUGACAUGAAGUUCAGCGUUUAAAGUGGCCCCGAGCCUGGUAAGCCUUUGAAGAUUAGAGAGGUUCGUUUUUUUUUGUUUGUGUAGUGUUUUACCGGAGUGGUUCUCUAGUAUCCAUGCCAAUUGGUGUGGUACUUUGAAUCAAUGGCUAGUGUUGGGAACUUGUGAAAUUUAUUUUGUUUGUUUGCUUUUGAGAGAGCAUUUUUUUUCAUCCCCACUUUCUUCAAAUUGGUUGCAGGUUCCUCCUGGAUGGGCGGGAUUCCAGUGUUAAUUAUUGGCACCUGUGGCACCCUAUUUAAGAGGCUCAUGGAGCUGUGAUCACUCUCUCUCAUUUUUUGGUUUGUUUGUUUGAAGAGUGGGUUGAUAUUUUGUGUUCACAUUUGUUUUCCACAACUCCACAAACCCAAUUUCUAACAGCUAUUUGAUUUGAUUCAUUUGUUAUUCUUUAAUACUUUGACCCUAGACAUUAUUUGAUUAAUUUGAAAUAAAUUUAUAAUUGUAUUGAAACCUA